rnacentral:lncRNA from 1 species
AGCUGUUAACAAUGACCUUACCGCUACAGCUUUAACUGUAAGGUACCCUGAAAUAGUUAGUAUCUAUAAGAACAGGGUUUCAUAUAGAUAAGUAUUUUUUUCUUAAAUUUUAUAUUAGUAUAUUACAAUUAAAUACAAUGUUCAAUAAUAAUGUAAUACAAUUCAGUACCCUGAUCUGAAAUAAAUGAUAUAUUUUCCUUCUAUACAUGUAAUCAAAUUAAAUAACGCCCAUUUAAUACUCUUAUCCGAAAUUGAAUGUUUGGUGUCAAUUAUCUCAUUUUAUCCUGCAAUUGGGUGUCCUACUAUACAGAUACAGCCCUACAGAUAUCGCUAUGCUGUAUCUGUAUACUAUACAGAUAUCGCUUUAAAGCUCCGCCCACUGCCGGACUGAGUAUUGUUUGAACCUGUGUGACCUCAGAAUGUGUAUUCCAGUUGCAUUCCAAUGACGAUGGCAAUUGUCGAUUUCAAAACUUGAAUGUGUAUGAUUGUGUUACAAAAUCAACCAUGUCAAUUUCAGCAUGCAUGUUUAGUGAAUGUCAAGUCUGAAGCGUAGGACAACUCGUACACUUCUGUUUCAAAUUUAACAAUGUUUUGUUAUUUGUCUUUACUGUUGAAAUUAGUUGUUAUGUUAAAAUAGAUAAUUAUUCACCUUGAGCGAUGUAUUAUUGUUGACCAUUCGAGAUUCUUUUUUGCGAACCCGUCUUCAGCGUAAUGUGUGAUUUUUAAUAUAUUACUACGCGGGCCUCAAGGGAUUACAAAUCGAAAAUAAACGCUAAAUAUGUUAGUUUUUGUGUCUUUCAAAACACAAACAAUAU